UUAUCAUGUUUAUUCUUACAUCAGUAGAACUUUCGCGGUACAAUAAUAAUUUGGGAUUAUUGUGUGGCCAGUAAUGGAUUAUGUCGCGUGUUUUGUAAUACACGCAUUACUGUAAAAUGAAACGAGGUCAUUCUGUUGUGUACUUUAGUCAAAGGAAGAGAAAGAUGGAGUCCCUUAUUAAAAGAAAAUGAGACUGAUGGGAUUUCGUUUUAAAGGAAGAAGAGUCUGAAGCUAACGUGUAUACCUACGAGAAUUAUGACGAAUCACCAAAGAAAAAGAAUAACUCAAAGUUCUGGUGGAUUGGGUGCAGUGAAUUCGAAAUAUCAACAGCGACCCUCAAAUACAGAAUAUGAAAGAAAAAGACUUUACUAUCUAUGAGUACCAACAUAAUUUUUAAGCAGAUCAAUGGAUUUUGAAUCCAGACCAGACAGUCAAGAAUAUUUACCGCAAAUAGAAAAUUAGCAAAAGUGGCAGCAACACACGUAUGUUUCGAUUGGUGUGAUAGAUUUUGGACAGGAGUAGCAGACUGUGGUGCAUUGAUUCCAAAAUCUUGACAAAACAACAACUGAUAACCUUUUUGUCUCUUUCAAGUAGGAUUGUGCUAUUUUUUUUAAUGCCAGAAAUUAAUAUGGGAUAGUUUGAAAGAAGAACUUUCAAAAUGACACAUAUUAGCACAAGGAUUCAUUGCAAUGAGACAAUUUCAGAUUUUGUGUAUUUUCAACUUUUUAUUUUUUUAUAAACUUUAAAUAAUUUGAUGAACUGCAAGUAUUAUUUAAAUAUGAACACGUAAGUCUCAUGUGUGGUUCAUGUAGUUUUUAACUGCUUUUCGUUUAAAAAGGGGGUUCCCUUAGAAGAAAAUUCAAUCAAGACAUCGAAAUAAAAUAUUGAACUCGAUUUCAAAUUCAUUUUAUUUUCCUAUUUUUGCCGUGUUUUUAUCAAAUCUUAGCAUAUCUUUAAGUGAGAAAAGAAGACUUCUUGAUGCUUAUAGUGUUCCACACUCAUUUUUAAACAUUGUCACAUUUCAUAUGUUAUAUUCUGGCUUUCAAUGUUUUAUGUAUUUUUUGUUUGUUGGUAAACGUGCAAAUUGUGUUGUGACCAAUGUAAUUUAUUAAGCAGUUUAUUGAGCUUGAUUUUGUUGUUCUUUAAACAAUGAAUAACCAUUUUUAUUAAUUUAAAAAUAAGGAGAAAUUCAUCAUCUGUUCAUCUCUAAGGUUGCUUCUACUCAAUGAGAUAUUACCAUUUUUAUAGAUCAAUAAUA